ACUCCUGCGGGAGGCAGCAGUGGGGAAUAUUGCACAAUGGGCGCAAGCCUGAUGCAGCCAUGCCGCGUGUAUGAAGAAGGCCUUCGGGUUGUAAAGUACUUUCAGCGGGGAGGAAGGCGAUAAGGUUAAUAACCUUGUUGAUUGACGUUACCCGCAGAAGAAGCACCGGCUAACUCCGUGCCAGCAGCCGCGGUAAUACGGAGGGUGCAAGCGUUAAUCGGAAUUACUGGGCGUAAAGCGCACGCAGGCGGUCUGUCAAGUCGGAUGUGAAAUCCCCGGGCUCAACCUGGGAACUGCAUUCGAAACUGGCAGGCUAGAGUCUUGUAGAGGGGGGUAGAAUUCCAGGUGUAGCGGUGAAAUGCGUAGAGAUCUGGAGGAAUAUCGGUGGCGAAGGCGGCCCCCUGGACAAAGACUGACGCUCAGGUGCGAAAGCGUGGGGAGCAAACAGGAUUAGAAACCCGUGUAGUCCC
rnacentral:rRNA from 1 species